UACGUAGGGUGCAAGCGUUAUCCGGAAUUAUUGGGCGUAAAGAGCUCGUAGGCGGUUUGUUGCGUCUGCUGUGAAAACUGGGGGCUCAACUCCCAGCCUGCAGUGGGUACGGGCAGACUAGAGUGCGGUAGGGGAGAUUGGAAUUCCUGGUGUAGCGGUGGAAUGCGCAGAUAUCAGGAGGAACACCGGUGGCGAAGACGGGUCUCUGGGCCGAUACUGACGCUGAGGAGCGAAAGCGUGGGGAGCGAACAGG
rnacentral:rRNA from 1 species